UGGGGAAUAUUGCGCAAUGGGGGAAACCCUGACGCAGCAACGCCGCGUGAAGGAUGAAGGUCUUCGGAUUGUAAACUUCUUUGAUUGGGGAAGAUAAUGACGGUACCCAAAAAACAAGCCACGGCUAACUACGUGCCAGCAGCCGCGGUAAUACGUAGGUGGCGAGCGUUGUCCGGAAUUACUGGGUGUAAAGGGCGUGUAGGCGGGAAGGUAAGUCAGAUGUGAAAUACCGGGGCUCAACUCCGGGGCUGCAUUUGAAACUAUCUUUCUUGAGUGCAGGAGAGGAAAGUGGAAUUCCUAGUGUAGCGGUGAAAUGCGUAGAUAUUAGGAGGAACACCAGUGGCGAAGGCGACUUUCUGGACUGUAACUGACGCUGAGGCGCGAAAGCGUGGGGAGCGAA
rnacentral:rRNA from 1 species